rnacentral:rRNA from 1 species
CCUACGGGUGGCUGCAGUGAGGAAUAUUGGUCAAUGGACGAGAGUCUGAACCAGUCAAGUAGCGUGAAGGAUGACUGCCCUAUGGGUUGUAAACUUCUUUUAUAUGGGAAUAAAACGUUCCACGUGUGGGAUUUUGUAUGUACCAUAUGAAUAAGGAUCGGCUAACUCCGUGCCAGCAGCCGCGGUAAUACGGAGGAUCCGAGCGUUAUCCGGAUUUAUUGGGUUUAAAGGGAGCGUAGGUGGAUUGUUAAGUCAGUUGUGAAAGUUUGCGGCUCAACCGUAAAAUUGCAGUUGAAACUGGCAGUCUUGAGUGCAGUAGAGGUAGGCGGAAUUCGUGGUGUAGCGGUGAAAUGCUUAGAUAUCACGAAGAACUCCGAUUGCGAAGGCAGUUCACUGGACUGCAACUGACACUGAGGCUCGAAAGUGUGGGUAUCAAACAGGAUUAGAUACCCUUGUAGUC